rnacentral:rRNA from 1 species
UUGCCAGGGAACUACGAGCCAAGCUUAAAACCCAAAGGACUUGACGGUACCCCAUAUCCACCUAGAGGAGCCUGUCCUAUAAUCGAUAAUCCACGAUCAACCUCACCAUUUCCUAGUUUAUCAGCUUGUAUACCUCCGUCGUCAGCUUACCACGUGAGCGCAACUCCAGUGAGCUUGAUGUUUUUUCACCAACACGUCAGGUCAAGGUGCAGUAUAUGUAAUGGAAAGAGAUGGGCUACACUUUCUACCCUAGAACAAACGAAAAACUAAAUAUGCAAUCCUAGUUGGAAGGCGGAUUUAGAAGUAAAAAGGAAUCAGAAUAUCCAUUUUAACCCGGCACUGGGGUGUGUACACACCGCCGGUCACCCUCA